UCUUUGAAGGUCAUACACUGUCUGCUCAGUUCCCAGACUUCGGUGCUGUGGAGAAACUAGGCUUGGUGCUGGUCUUCAGGCCAUUCUAGAUUUCCAAGAAAGUCCAAAUAAAUGGACUUUUAUUUUUAUGGAAGCGACUCAGCUUACCCAGUGCAUAGUCACCCUUGGAAACUGUCCUGGACGUGACAUCAUCACAGCAGCGGCUGUCCACAAAACUUCCUCUACACUACAGCUAAUGGUUUCUCCUGGAAAUUCUGGCUCGUUGUCUCCUUGUUGACAAUACAGACUUAAUACAAGAUGGAAGAUAGGAGAAAAUAUUACCACAAUGAAAGAAGGAGAAAACCCGAAGGAAAAAAAAAUCUUCAAAAAAUAAUAAAAAAAAAAAACCCUGAGAACUUGUCAGCAUGAUGCACAGCUCUGAAGGUUAAAGCAAAGCAAAACAAAUGUAGUGCACCGCUGUGAUGAUGAUCAACCUUCCUUAUCAAUUGGAUGGGAACUGGAUUUGGAAUUGCCUAGGAGACACACCUCCAGCUACAUCUGAGGGAGUUUCCAGAGAGCUUUCACCGAUAAUGGAAGAACAUCCCAGAACAUGGGCGGCACUAGGCUGGUUCCCCAGACUGAACAAGAGGAGAAAGUGAGCCGGGUAGAAGCACCUGGCCUCUCUGCUUCCUGAGUGCAGCUGCAGUGAGACCACCCACCUCCUGCUCCUAUCCCCACAUCCCCUCACAUGUGAGCCAGAAUAAGCCCUUCCCCUGUAAGGGUUGGUUUGGGUUUUGUUUUCAUGGCAACAAGAAAAGGAACUAAUAAAAUCAUAGAGAAGGUCAAACUAGAAUCCGCAGAAUGAGAGAUGAUAUCUGCAAGUCAAGUAUCCGAGAAGGGACUUGUACCCAAGAUAAAGUCUCAAAUAUUCAGACCAUCCUCAUUUUAAAUUGAGCAAAGGGGAUAAGAGGCACAAAUCGCCCGCAGCACACCAGAAGAUGCCUGUGUUACUAAUCACAAGUCAAACCACAGUGGGACAGGACUGCAGCCACCAGCAUAGCUGCUUUAGAAAAGAGUUGGUGGGUUGUAAAAUGGUGUGGUCACCUUGAAUCAUAACUUGGCUGUAGUGAUAUCUUGUUUGUGCUCUAACAAAUAAAGCUUGCCUGAAGAUCAGAGUGCAGAGCUAAGCCACUAGAUAGCCAUUGAGGACAGGCAGUGGU